rnacentral:rRNA from 1 species
GGUUAAGCGACUAAGCGUACACGGUGGAUGCCCUGGCAGUCAGAGGCGAUGAAGGACGUGCUAAUCUGCGAUAAGCGCCGGUAAGGUGAUAUGAACCGUUAUAACCGGCGAUUUCCGAAUGGGGAAACCCAGUGUGACUCGUCACACUAUCAUUAACUGAAUCCAUAGGUUAAUGAGGCGAACCGGGGGAACUGAAACAUCUAAGUACCCCGAGGAAAAGAAAUCAACCGAGAUUCCCCCAGUAGCGGCGAGCGAACGGGGAGGAGCCCAGAGCCUGAAUCAGCAUGUGUGUUAGUGGAAGCGUCUGGAAAGGCGCGCGAUACAGGGUGACAGCCCCGUACACAAAAGCGCAUGUGCUGUGAGCUCGAUGAGUAGGGCGGGACACGUGGUAUCCUGUCUGAAUAUGGGGGGACCAUCCUCCAAGGCUAAAUACUCCUGACUGACCGAUAGUGAACCAGUACCGUGAGGGAAAGGCGAAAAGAACCCCGGCGAGGGGAGUGAAAAAGAACCUGAAACCGUGUACGUACAAGCAGUGGGAGCACAGGUUUACCUGUGUGACUGCGUACCUUUUGUAUAAUGGGUCAGCGACUUAUAUUCUGUAGCAAGGUUAACCGAAUAGGGGAGCCGGAGGGAAACCGAGUCUUAAUYGGGCGUUAAGUUGCAGGGUAUAGACCCGAAACCCGGUGAUCUAGCCAUGGGCAGGUUGAAGGUUGGGUAACACUAACUGGAGGACCGAACCGACUAAUGUUGAAAAAUUAGCGGAUGACCUGUGGCUGGGGGUGAAAGGCCAAUCAAACCGGGAGAUAGCUGGUUCUCCCCGAAAGCUAUUUAGGUAGCGCCUCGUGAAUUCAUCUCCGGGGGUAGAGCACUGUUUCGGCUAGGGGGCCAUCCCGGCUUACCAACCCGAUGCAAACUGCGAAUACCGGAGAAUGUUAUCACGGGAGACACACGGCGGGUGCUAACGUCCGUCGUGAAGAGGGAAACAACCCAGACCGCCAGCUAAGGUCCCAAAGUCAUGGUUAAGUGGGAAACGAUGUGGGAAGGCCCAGACAGCCAGGAUGUUGGCUUAGAAGCAGCCAUCAUUUAAAGAAAGCGUAAUAGCUCACUGGUCGAGUCGGCCUGCGCGGAAGAUGUAACGGGGCUAAACCAUGCACCGAAGCUGCGGCAGCGACGCUGAUGCGUUGUUGGGUAGGGGAGCGUUCUGUAAGCCUGCGAAGGUGGCCUGUGAGGGUUGCUGGAGGUAUCAGAAGUGCGAAUGCUGACAUAAGUAACGAUAAAGCGGGUGAAAAGCCCGCUCGCCGGAAGACCAAGGGUUCCUGUCCAACGUUAAUCGGGGCAGGGUGAGUCGACCCCUAAGGCGAGGCCGAAAGGCGUAGUCGAUGGGAAACGGGUUAAUAUUCCCGUACUUGGUGUUACUGCGAAGGGGGGACGGAGAAGGCUAUGUUGGCCGGGCGACGGUUGUCCCGGUUUAAGCGUGUAGGUGUGUGUUCCAGGUAAAUCCGGUUCACUUUAACACUGAGGCGUGAUGACGAGGCACUACGGUGCUGAAGCAACAAAUGCCCUGCUUCCAGGAAAAGCCUCUAAGCAUCAGGUAACAUCAAAUCGUACCCCAAACCGACACAGGUGGUCAGGUAGAGAAUACCAAGGCGCUUGAGAGAACUCGGGUGAAGGAACUAGGCAAAAUGGUGCCGUAACUUCGGGAGAAGGCACGCUGACACGUAGGUGAAGUGAUUUACUCAUGGAGCUGAAGUCAGUCGAAGAUACCAGCUGGCUGCAACUGUUUAUUAAAAACACAGCACUGUGCAAACACGAAAGUGGACGUAUACGGUGUGACGCCUGCCCGGUGCCGGAAGGUUAAUUGAUGGGGUCAGCGCAAGCGAAGCUCCUGAUCGAAGCCCCGGUAAACGGCGGCCGUAACUAUAACGGUCCUAAGGUAGCGAAAUUCCUUGUCGGGUAAGUUCCGACCUGCACGAAUGGCGUAAUGAUGGCCAGGCUGUCUCCACCCGAGACUCAGUGAAAUUGAACUCGCUGUGAAGAUGCAGUGUACCCGCGGCAAGACGGAAAGACCCCGUGAACCUUUACUAUAGCUUGACACUGAACAUUGAGCCUUGAUGUGUAGGAUAGGUGGGAGGCUUUGAAGUGUGGACGCCAGUCUGCAUGGAGCCGACCUUGAAAUACCACCCUUUAAUGUUUGAUGUUCUAACGUGGACCCGUGAUCCGGGUUGCGGACAGUGUCUGGUGGGUAGUUUGACUGGGGCGGUCUCCUCCUAAAGAGUAACGGAGGAGCACGAAGGUUGGCUAAUCCUGGUCGGACAUCAGGAGGUUAGUGCAAUGGCAUAAGCCAGCUUGACUGCGAGCGUGACGGCGCGAGCAGGUGCGAAAGCAGGUCAUAGUGAUCCGGUGGUUCUGAAUGGAAGGGCCAUCGCUCAACGGAUAAAAGGUACUCCGGGGAUAACAGGCUGAUACCGCCCAAGAGUUCAUAUCGACGGCGGUGUUUGGCACCUCGAUGUCGGCUCAUCACAUCCUGGGGCUGAAGUAGGUCCCAAGGGUAUGGCUGUUCGCCAUUUAAAGUGGUACGCGAGCUGGGUUUAGAACGUCGUGAGACAGUUCGGUCCCUAUCUGCCGUGGGCGCUGGAGAACUGAGGGGGGCUGCUCCUAGUACGAGAGGACCGGAGUGGACGCAUCACUGGUGUUCGGGUUGUCAUGCCAAUGGCACUGCCCGGUAGCUAAAUGCGGAAGAGAUAAGUGCUGAAAGCAUCUAAGCACGAAACUUGCCCCGAGAUGAGUUCUCCCUGAGACUU